rnacentral:rRNA from 1 species
AUUGAACGCUGGCGGAAUGCUUUACACAUGCAAGUCGAACGGCAGCACGGGGGCAACCCUGGUGGCGAGUGGCGAACGGGUGAGUAAUACAUCGGAACGUGCCCGGUCGUGGGGGAUAACGUAGCGAAAGUUACGCUAAUACCGCAUACGAUCUGAGGAUGAAAGCGGGGGACCUUCGGGCCUCGCGCGAUCGGAGCGGCCGAUGUCAGAUUAGUUAGUUGGUGGGGUAAAGGCCUACCAAGCCGACGAUCUGUAGCUGGUCUGAGAGGACGACCAGCCACACUGGGACUGAGACACGGCCCAGACUCCUACGGGAGGCAGCAGUGGGGAAUUUUGGACAAUGGGCGCAAGCCUGAUCCAGCCAUUCCGCGUGCAGGACGAAGGCCUUCGGGUUGUAAACUGCUUUUGUAUGGAACGAAAAGGCUCUGGCUAAUACCUGGGGCUCAUGACGGUACCGUAAGAAUAAGCACCGGCUAACUACGUG